UACGGGGGGGGUAAGCGUUGUUCGGAAUUACUGGGCGUAAAGGGCUCGUAGGCGGCCAACUAAGUCAGACGUGAAAUCCCUCAGCUUAACUGGGGAACUGCGUCUGAUACUGGAUGGCUUGGAUUCGGGAGAGGAAUGCGGAAUUCCAGGUGUAGCGGUGAAAUGCGUAGAUAUCAGGAGGAACACCAAUUGCGAAGGCAGCUCGCUGGGACGUUACUGACGCUGAGACGCGAAAGCGUGGGGAGCAAACAGG
rnacentral:rRNA from 1 species